rnacentral:rRNA from 1 species
GUGUCAGCAGCCGCGGUAAUACGGGGGGGGCAAGCGUUGUUCGGAAUUACUGGGCGUAAAGGGUUCGUAGGUGGCCUACUAAGUCAGACGUGAAAUCCCUCGGCUCAACCGGGGAACUGCGUCUGAGACUGGAAGGCUUGAGUGCAGGAGAGGAACGCGGAAUUCCAGGUGUAGCGGUGAAAUGCGUAGAUAUCUGGAGGAACACCGGUGGCGAAGGCGGCGUUCUGGACUGCAACUGACACUGAGGAACGAAAGCCAGGGGAGCAAACGGGAUUAGAAACCCCGGUAGUCC